GGAGACGAUACCAGAAGUGCAUGAUGCACAAGGAUGAACCUUGUCAUUGGUCACUGAUUGAGUAAUAAAUCCAAGUGUCUUCUGUGAGCAUUCUACCUGGAGCAAGACUUGGAUAUACUUUGAAAAGCAAAUAGCAGCACAAUACACUCACAAGUGCUGGGAGCUCCACUGUCUGACAAGUUCAUGGAACAUGUACCCAACCUUGAAUCUCAGCAUGCCCUUUUGGGGGCAAAGGGUGUGAGAGGUUGCUGACUGAAGACUUGGGAGCUAACUG